rnacentral:rRNA from 1 species
UGCGAAGGGGGCUAGCGUUGCUCGGAAUUACUGGGCGUAAAGGGCGCGUAGGCGGCGAUCCUAGUCAGAUGUGAAAGUCCUGGGCUUAACCUGGGGACUGCAUUUGAUACUGGAUUGCUUGAAUUCGGGAGAGGAUAGCGGAAUUCCCAGUGUAGAGGUGAAAUUCGUAGAUAUUGGGAAGAACACCGGUGGCGAAGGCGGCUAUCUGGACCGACAUUGACGCUGAGGCGCGAAAGCGUGGGGAGCAAACAGG